UACGGAGGGUGCGAGCGUUGUCCGGAAUCAUUGGGCGUAAAGGGCGCGUAGGUGGCGGGACAAGCGUGCGGUGAAAGCUCGGGGCUCAACCCCGCGUCGGCCGUGCGAACUGUUUUGCUUGAGCACUGUAGAGGCAGGCGGAAUUCCGGGUGUAGCGGUGGAGUGCGUAGAGAUCCGGAAGAACACCGGUGGCGAAGGCGGCCUGCUGGGCAGUAGCUGACACUGAGGCGCGACAGCGUGGGGAGCAAACAGG
rnacentral:rRNA from 1 species